rnacentral:rRNA from 1 species
GAUGAACGCUGGCGGCGUGCCUAAUACAUGCAAGUCGAGCGAACAGACGAGGAGCUUGCUCCUCUGACGUUAGCGGCGGACGGGUGAGUAACACGUGGAUAACCUACCUAUAAGACUGGGAUAACUUCGGGAAACCGGAGCUAAUACCGGAUAAUAUAUUGAACCGCAUGGUUCAAUAGUGAAAGACGGUUUUGCUGUCACUUAUAGAUGGAUCCGCGCCGCAUUAGCUAGUUGGUAAGGUAACGGCUUACCAAGGCAACGAUGCGUAGCCGACCUGAGAGGGUGAUCGGCCACACUGGAACUGAGAAACGGUCCAGACUCCUACGGGAGGCAGCAGUAGGGAAUCUUCCGCAAUGGGCGAAAGCCUGACGGAGCAACGCCGCGUGAGUGAUGAAGGGCUUCGGAUCGUAAAACUCUGUUAUUAGGGAAGAACAAAUGUGUAAGUAACUAUGCACGUCUUGACGGUACCUAAUCAGAAAGCCACGGCUAACUACGUG